rnacentral:rRNA from 1 species
ACGGGGUGCAGCAGGCGCGAAAACUUUGCAAUAAGCGAAAGCUUGACAGGGCUAUCCCGAGUGCCAUCCGCUGAGGAAGGCUUUUACCCAGUCUAGAACGCUGGGGGAAUAAGGAGAGGGCAAGUCUGGUGUCAGCCGCCGCGGUAAUACCAGCUCUCCGAGUGGUGUGGAUGUUUAUUGGGCCUAAAGCAUCCGUAGCUGGCUAAGUUAGUCCCCUGUUAAAUCCACCGAAUUAAUCGUUGGAUUGCGGGGGAUACUGCUUGACUAGGGGACGAGAGAGGCAGACGGUAUUUCCGGGGUAGGGGUGAAAUCCUAUAAUCCCGGGAAGACCACCAGUGGCGAAGGCUGUCUGCUAUAACGCGCCCGACGGUGAGGGAUGAAAGCUGGGGGAGCGAACCGGAUUAGAUACCCGGGUAGUCCCAGCUGUAAACGAUGCAGACUAGGUGUUUGAACGGCCACGUGCCGUUCUAGUGCCGCAGGGAAGCUGUUAAGUCUGCCGCCUGGGGAGUACGAUCGCAAGAUUGAACUUAAAGGAAUUGGCGGGGGAGCAC